rnacentral:lncRNA from 1 species
CCCUAUUAAAAAUGACACCAGGGACUUUAUUUUAAAGAAAGCUAUGUGUGUCACAGCCAUGAAUAAAUUAGCCCGCAGCAGUAUUCUUAGAGUGGAACAACAUUAUUUUUUUCAGUUUAGGAGGCUGAGGCCAGAGAAAAUGAAUGUUUCUUCCUGAGCAAACAGGAAGACGCUGGCCUGGGAUGACUCCCAGUCAGGGGCGUUGCCUGGUGCCUUCCUGCCUCCCUGGGAUCCAACAUGGCGCCCAUCACCCAGGCCAGCUUCGUCCCCUCAGGCUUCUCCGUGGGUGUCAGACUUGUCAGGGACCACCAGAGCUGUCAGGCGUCCUUGUCUGCUAUGAACUCGGGAUGCCUCUUGCUCACUGAGGCAUUAUCCUCCAACAAGUGACUGGUUAAUUCCUUAAUCACCUGUUUGAGUCGUCCCUCUGCAUACCAGGCCUCACUUCCUAUUUCCUCGUGGUUCUGAGAUGGUCGGAAAGGGAGCAGAAAAUCUUUCUUUAGCAUCAGUUUGAUGAGAUGCUGGAUGUCUUACCUCUCACAGGCAGCAGGGGUUACCUACUUUUCACCCCAUUGAAGGUCCAGUCCAGCUCUGUGGUCCAGUUGACAACCAUCACCAUAGCAACUUAUAUACUCAUUUCUAGCAAGAAUAAAUAAAUAUGUCUUGAAGGGCAGGCUGUCACCAUUCUACUUGAUAUUGAUUCUGCUGCUCAUGGACUUAAAAAAAGCUACCUUUUUUGUUUUGAAAUAAGUGUAGCUGGCCGGGAACAAUGACUCACGUCUGUAAUCCCAACACUUUGCAAGACCGAGACGGGUGGAUCACCUGAAGUCAGGAGUUCGAGACCAACCUGGAAAACAUGGUGAAACCCCAUCUCUACUAAUAGUACAAAAAAAUUAGCCAGGUUUGGUGGUGCAUGCCUGUAAGUCCAGCUACUCGGGAGGCUGAGGCAGAUAAUUGCUUGACCCUGGGAGGUGGAGGUUGCAGUAGGCCGAGAUCACUCCACUUCACUCCAGCCUGGGCGACAGAGCGAGA